CAAAAAGAUAAGAGAUAAUGAGAGACAGGACUAGCUGGAUUUCCUAGGCCGACUAAGAAUCCCUAAGCCUAGCUGGGAAGGUGACCGCAUCCACCUUUAAACACGGGGCUUGCAACUUAACUCACACCCAACCAAUCAGAGAGCUCACUAAAAUGCUAAUUAGGCAAAAACAGGAGGUAAAGAAAUAGCCAAUCAUCUAUUGCCUGAGAGCACAGCAGGAGGGACAAGGAUCGGGAUAUAAACCCAGGCAUUCGAGCCGGCAACAGCAACCCCCUUUGGGUCCCCUCCUUCCUAUGGGAGCUUUGUUUUCACUCUAUUUCACUCUAUUAAAUCUUGCACUGCACUCUUCUCGUCCAUGUUUGUUACGGCUCGAGCUGAGCUUUUCGCUCGCCGUCCACCACUGCUGUUUGCCACUGUCGUAGACCCGCCCCUGACUCCCAUCCCGCCACUGACUCCCAUCCCUCCAGAUCCGGCAGGGUGUCCGCUGUGCUCCUGAUCCAGCAAGACUCCGGUUGCCACUCCUGAUUUUGCUAAAGGCUUGCCAUUGUUCCUGCACGGCUAAGUGCCUGGGUUCGUCCUAAUUGAGCUGAACACUAGUCACUGGGUUCCACGGUUCUCUUCCAUGACCCACAGCUUCUAAUAGAGCUAUAACACUCACUGCAUGAUCCAAGAUUCCAUUCCUUGGAAUCCGUGAGGCCAAGAAUCCCGGGUCAGAGAACACAAAGCUUGCCACCAUCUUGGAAGCGGCCCACCACCAUCUUGGAAGCGGCUUGCCACCAUCUUGGGAACUCUGUGAGCAAGGGCCUCAGGUAACAUUUUGGUGACCACGAAGUGACCUCCAAAGCGAUGCGGAGUCUCACUGUGUUGCAAAUUCCUGACCUCAAGUGAUCUUCCUGCCUGGGCCUCAAAGUGCGGGGAUUAUACGCAGGGGCCACUGCUUUCAGCCUUUAAAUUCUGUUAAAAACAGCGUUGGUGAGAAAGAAAAUGUCUACUUCCUGAGAAAGACUGAUAAGAAUCUAAAAGGCAUAAUUUUCUCAUAAAAGGGCAGCUGCAUAUGUUGGCAUGAUUGAUGAGAUCUGCUACAGUCAAGCAAGCAGCCCUGGGUGACCAGUUUACCCUUCCCUGCGAGGGUUCCAGCUGCCAGUUGCCCCCAUUCUGUGACAGCUUCUCCUUCUCCUCACCUUGUCAUCCAGCCAAGAUUGUACACUGUAGGAGUACAGGCUUAUAGGCAGAAGAGAUUUGCCUUGUCUCAGAUGAGACUUUGGACUUGGACUUUUGAGUUAAUGCUGGAAUGAGGCUCUGCCCUUCUUCUUCCUGCCACCAUGUGAAGAAGGACAUGUUUGCUUCCCCUUCUGCUGUAAUUGCCUUGGGCUCGCCUAGAUCAUGAAAAUCAGAAUCUAUGGUUUACCUUUAUUAGGAAACACUUGGAAGGCAAAAGGAGGUUUAUAGAACUGUAGCAUGGAUGAAAUAAGUAAUACAGUGAAUGCUGUCUAAGACUUCUGUAAAAAAAAAUAUAUUUCAGCCUUGACAAAAGACCCUGAAGCUGCCUAAGUGAACUUGACCACUUGAUCAUGAAGAUCUUGAUGUUGAAUGUUAUUCAUGAGAUCAUGAAUGACAUUCCACGAAUCUUGUUCUUUGUUCAUUGAUGUAUCAGCUUAUCUCAUAGUUUGUUUUGUAUUUCUUUUCUGAAAAAUUUUUUACUAUAACAAAUGUUUAUGUAGGGAAUUGUGUCUCAAUAUUUCAAAGACUAUGCAAGUUUAUUGUGGUGAAAACUGGAUUAACUUCUAAAAGGCUGUUAGGAAGGCUGUAAAAUAUUCUGAUGCAAAUCCAACUUUCAGCUGCCUGUGAAUAAAAUUGACUGGAACUUGCUGUUUGCCUAUUUCUCUAACUUUCUAUUUACAUCACAAGUAGAUCCAUCUAGUGAAAAAGACUGGAUCAAACUGGUCAUUAGCUAACAAGAAUUUUACUUUUAAUGCAUUUAGUUAGACAUUUCUGCAAUUUUAAUAUAAAAUUCUAAAAUAAAAAUAUAAAUAUUCACUAUACUUAUUCUGAACAGAAUAAUGCAUGACAGAAACAAAGAUAACAAAAAAAAUCUUGUUUUCAAAAUAUAUUACAUUUUUAUACUAUCUACAGAUAUUAUUUGAGUGCUUUUCUUUUUUUCUAUUUAGGAAACAUCUCUUCUAGGACAAGGUCAUUACUACCAAGAGACAGCACAAUGUCUUCUAAAGCAGAAGUUCAAUUAGGGAGUUGGAUAGGAGAAUGUGCCACUCAUAGAUGAGCAACAUUCCCAGACAUUAUCCAAAGGAUGGUAUUUUUAUAUUUGUGAAUAUAGUCCAAAACCUGGGCCUAUGCAGCAUAAGACCUCUCAAGUGACCUUCCAAACGCUAGAAAAUGCCUAAGGAAAUAGUUAUUUUAUCAUCUCUUUACCUAAAAAAUCAGCAUAAUGUUAAUUUUGAUAAAGUUAACCAAAAAGCAUAAAAAUCUUGAUAGACAUGAGAUGUGUCUGCUUUUUGCCUCAAGCAAUGUGAAUAUAUUAAUCUUAAAUUUCAAUGCAAGAUAGUGAAGGCAGAACUGAAGCCCUGAUUCCAGGGUUAUUAUGGACUGCAAUUACUGAAGUUAUGUCCUCACCUAGAAAGUGAAAACAAUAAUACAUUUUCUUUGGAUCUGGCAAGGUUUCUAUGACUGUUAAACGAGAUACUAUUUCCAAAUGACAUAAGUAUUUUAAAAAUUGUUACUCAAGCAAUUACAAUUGAUCUUUGUUGACUUUGGAUUGAUAUUUAUAUCUAAGUUGCAUAAUCUGAUGUAAAAUUGUACUUUUAUGAUUAAAUCACUUUAAAAGCAUAAAUAUAUUACUAUAUCACAAAAUUUCCUACAUAAUAGAUAGUCUAACAUAUUAUUUGCUGAUAUUAUUGAAAUAAAAGACAAAGUUCUCAAAUGUUAUAGGUUUCAGAGGCAGGUAAACCAGAGCAACUCCAUCUUGAGUAGGGGCUGUGUAAAAUGAGGCUGAGACCUUCUGUGCUGCUUUCCCAUGAGGUUAAGGCAUUCUUCGUCACAGGAUAAGAUAGGAGGUCAGCACAAGACACAUGUCAUAAAGACCUUGCUGAUUAAACAGGUCACAGUAAAGAAGAUGGCUAAAACCCACCAAAACCAAGAUGGAGACGAGAGUGACCUCCAGUUGUUCUCACUGCUACACUCCCACCAGUGCCAUGACAGUUUACAAAUACCAUGGCAAAGUCAAGAAGUUACCCUAUAUGGUCUAAAAAGGGAAGGCAUGAAUAAUCUGCCCCUUGUUUAGCAUAUAAUCAUGAAAAAAAACCAUAAAAAUGUGCUACCAGCAGUCCUCAAGGCUGCUAUGUCUGUGGAGUAGCCAUUCUUUAUCCCUUUAUUUUCCUAAUAAAUUUGCUUUCACUUUACUGUAUCACCCUGAAUUAUUUUUGCGUGAGAUCCGAGAACCUCUCCUGGGGUGUGGAUCCGGACCACUGUCCAGUAACAUAAGCCUAUCACUAUUAUAACUUCUGAAUUCAUUUUAACAUUGAAACCUCGUAACAACCAUGUGAUGAUAGGUAUUCUGAAGUGAGAAUAAUUUCUUUAUUGACAUUGUAACUGUUAAGGAAAUCUUGAUCUUGCUUUCUUGAGUGUUCUUCUUAUUACAUGUUGUGAAUGCACAAUAUUCUGUAAUAGAAAAUUAUAGAUUUUCAUGCUCAAUAAAUAAUAAAGAACUUUUAGAUUAUUCAGCGG
rnacentral:lncRNA from 10 species